AUUGAACGCUGGCGGCAUGCCUUACACAUGCAAGUCGAACGGCAGCGGACCUUCGGGUGCCGGCGAGUGGCGAACGGGUGAGUAAUGCAUCGGAACGUGCCAUUGAGUGGGGGAUAACGUAGCGAAAGUUACGCUAAUACCGCAUAUUCUGUGAGCAGGAAAGCAGGGGACCGCAAGGCCUUGCGCUCUUUGAGCGGCCGAUGUCAGAUUAGCUAGUUGGUGAGGUAAAGGCUUACCAAGGUGACGAUCUGUAGCGGGUCUGAGAGGAUGAUCCGCCACACUGGAACUGAGACACGGUCCAGACUCCUACGGGAGGCAGCAGUGGGGAAUUUUGGACAAUGGGCGCAAGCCUGAUCCAGCCAUGCCGCGUGAGUGAAG
rnacentral:rRNA from 1 species